GUGAAUCAUCGAAUCUUUGAACGCAUAUUGCACUCUCUGGUAUUCCGGGGAGUAUGCCUAUUUGAGGGUCAUUUGAAAUAAUAUAAAUUCCAAGAUGUUUCUGAAUUUAAAAUGGGUUUGCCAUUUUUUGUGGUCGCCUAAAAUCAAAGACAAGCCCAUGUUCUUUGGUUGCGUGAUAGUGUCAGUUAUCUCGUGACUUAACCAGGUAUCAUCUGGCUCGUUAUGAA
rnacentral:misc_RNA from 1 species